rnacentral:rRNA from 1 species
UACGAAGGGGGCUAGCGUUGCUCGGAAUCACUGGGCGUAAAGCGCACGUAGGCGGAUUUCUAAGUCAGGGGUGAAAUCCUGGAGCUCAACUCCAGAACUGCCUUUGAUACUGGGAAUCUAGAGUCCGGGAGAGGUGAGUGGAACUGCGAGUGUAGAGGUGAAAUUCGUAGAUAUCUGGAGGAUCACCCGUGGCGAAGGCGGCUCUCUGGUCCGAAACUGACGCUGAGGUGCGAAAGCUAGGGUAGCAAACAGG